GUGGGGAAUCUUGCGCAAUGGGCGAAAGCCUGACGCAGCCAUGCCGCGUGAAUGAUGAAGGUCUUAGGAUUGUAAAAUUCUUUCACCGGGGACGAUAAUGACGGUACCCGGAGAAGAAGCUCCGGCUAACUUCGUGCCAGCAGCCGCGGUAAUACGAAGGGGGCUAGCGUUGCUCGGAAUUACUGGGCGUAAAGGGCGCGUAGGCGGCCCGGUAAGUCUGAAGUGAAAGUCCUGCUUUUAAGGUGGGAAUUGCUUUGGAUACUGUCGGGCUUGAGUGCAGGAGAGGUAAGCGGAAUUCCCGGUGUAGCGGUGAAAUGCGUAGAGAUCGGGAGGAACACCAGUGGCGAAGGCGGCUUACUGGACUGUAACUGACGCUGAGGCGCGAAAGUGUGGGGAGCAAACAGGAUUAGAUACCCGGGUAGUCC
rnacentral:rRNA from 1 species